GGGUUACUUUAUUUCUUUUUUUUUUUCCUACAGCUAAAACUGCACCAUCAUACUGUGCCAGGCUAAUUAAAAAAAAAAAAAAAAAAAGAAAAAAAACAACAACCCCCCCCCCCCCCCCCCCCCCCCCCCCCCCCCCCCCCCCUAAUUAAAAAAAAAAAAAAAAAAAAAAAAACCAACAAAACAAGAGCAGGAAUGUAAGAUACUAUAAAACUAACUUAAUGUUAGAAAUCAAAAGAAACAAAUACUUUUUGCACUUUUAAUUUUACUAUCACAUGCAAAGAAUUUCUUCUUUUCACUCCCCAGCAGAAGCACGAGAGAGUGCCCCAGUCUUUUCCACACACAGCAAUUUGGAAAAGAACCAAGCUGGGAAGGGCAUUUCUGUCCCUAAUGGGAAAACAAGUCACAGUUGCUAAAAGUGGGAAUUUGCACCUCCUGGGAUCCCACAUCAGCAGAGCAGGAGAAUGUGGAUCCCCAGAGGGAAAAGCCAGAGGGGGGCAGGGGGAGCUGUGGUGGCAGGGACACAAAUCCAGCUCCAUGAACCAGGAGAUGCCCCAGCAGCGGGUCUGGAUCCAAACCAGUCUGUCCCAGUUCCCCCAGUCUGCCCAACUGGUGGGGACAGACACAGCCCAGCACGGGGAGGAAAAGGAAAGGCAAAGCCCAUCCCUGCCAGGUGCCAGUGCUGAGGAGAACUCCCACCCCACCAGAGUUCCACAGCCUCUGUAUCCAACUGGGGAUUUCCCCCCUGCACAGAAAAGAAUAGAAAGAAAAAACAAAAAAAACACAAAAAAACCUCCCAAACCACAGCUGGAAAUGGUGGAAGGGAAAUGCUCACGUGAAAUCCUUGCACUCAGGUGUGAAAUAAAUCACUGCAAGUGCCCUAAGCUGAGAGAGGUUUGGUUAUGCUGGGAAAAGUUCCACUUCACCAUUCAGUCCUCUCAGCAGGAGCAAGUCACUGACACUGGAUCAGGGAAUUCUGAGCAACAUCUGCACCACCUUCCCUCUCAAUUCCUCCUCCAAAGAGCCAACAGCUGGCAGCACCCCAAAGCUUCCUCAACAUCCCAGAACACACCUCCCCCAAACACCAUGAACCAUCCCACAGGCUUGUUUUGUUCCAGUUUGGCUGCAGGAAUUUGUAUUCAUUGCAUUUCAGGACUUUUGACACUAAAUAUUUCAAUUUCCUUAUCAUCCCACCAAGAGUAGCAUUAUCAAAAUAAACGGAGAAGGGUCUGUAAGAAUCCCUAAACUGUGGAUGUGAUCAACGAUUCCCCCCCCCCCCCCCCCCCCCCCCCCCCCCCCCCCCCCCCCCCCCCCCCCCCCCCCCCC
rnacentral:lncRNA from 12 species